rnacentral:lncRNA from 1 species
UUUGAAGUAACAACUUAGUAUCAAUUAAUUGCUGUAUAAGAACAAAUAAUAUUAUUUCAGAGAUAUGAUGCUUUAUGCACUUCUGUGAGAAAUGGUAUAGAAGGUGAAAGAUAUUUAGAAUGAAUGAUAACUGAACGAACUAAAAUAGUAAUUCAUAUGUUCUAUGUAAAACAUCGGGAGGAAGAUUUUCGUAUUGCUAUGCAUUGCUGUGUGAGGACAUUGGUACUACAUUGGGGAAAAAUUCUUCGCAGUAUGAAAAAAGUAACUGACAUUCCACUGAAUAGUUGGAAAGUAAAUCUGGGCAAUUCACAUCUUUCAG